UACGUAGGGUGCAAGCGUUAAUCGGAAUUACUGGGCGUAAAGCGUGCGCAGGCGGCUAUGCAAGACAGAUGUGAAAUCCCCGGGCUCAACCUGGGAACUGCAUUUGUGACUGCAUGGCUAGAGUACGGUAGAGGGGGAUGGAAUUCCGCGUGUAGCAGUGAAAUGCGUAGAUAUGCGGAGGAACACCGAUGGCGAAGGCAAUCCCCUGGACCUGUACUGACGCUCAUGCACGAAAGCGUGGGGAGCAAGCAGG
rnacentral:rRNA from 1 species